ensembl:antisense Kcnd3os potassium voltage-gated channel, Shal-related family, member 3, opposite strand
AAACCUCUCGGCGCCCCAGUGCCCGGAGGUGGCUCUGCAGCCCAGGGAACCGACGCCCCCAGGCCGGCUGCUUGCUCCCCCACGGCCCGGCCCCACCCCCAAUCCUUCCGGCGCCCCAGCGCCCACCCACCCGGGCGCGGGAGUGGGAGGGUGCCGCGUGGGCAGCGGGAGCAACAGGCGUGGGAGCAGCGCUCCUCGCACUUGCUGUCUCUGGGAGGCUCGGUCGUUUCCCUCUUACCUUCGCCGAAGCCAGCCCCAGGCCCCGCGCCCCGCGCGCGCGAGGAAGCUGAGGCCAGGGGCCGCCGAGGCGCAGAGCGCCCAGCAGCGCGGGGAAGCGCCCAGCAGCCGCCGCUCGGGCGGCUCCUCCUCGCCGGCGAAGUCUCGCUCGUCCCUCCUUCACUCGUGAGGUGCAGCUGGUCGCCGCGCAAGCUUACAGGCUGACCCUGAACAGUCAGGUGUGUUUGCCAAAGCUGGGAAGAUCCCACGGAAGACAAACUGCCUUUAUCUCCGCGUAAGAGCCACUGUCGUUCAGGAGUGACCUCUGACACAUGGCCAGAAGCGGGCCCAGGCCCUGGAUCCUUUCCAGAGCCCAGAGUUAUCUAUUGCUUAGUACUCGGACCCAGCGUGAGGAGUGGGACAACCACGGGAGCAUAGGAUCCAGCUGAGAGUCCCAGGACCAUCGCGGCAGCAGAGUAGAGCCCAGUCCUGGCUGCUAAGCCAAACCGUGGCCGGCUUUCCCUGUGUCUCCGGCCUGGGUGCUGGGACUCCCGAGCCUGGAGAUCGCGAAGCAAGCAGCUUCGUGCCUCUGCCCGGACCGGAACGCCUUGGCUUGAGAGAUGGCAGCUCUGAGUAUGGAAAGGCAGAGGAGCUGAUGAAUUUGCUACCAGAGUCCAUUUCUUUCAGUUCAAAAGAACAUGAGCAUAUGAGGAGGGACAUGGGAGACCAGAAGCCAGAAGAGGAGCUACGAGCAUAAUGACAUGGGCCCUCUGGGGGGUCUGGGGGGACCCAUUGUGCCUUGCAAAUCCUGAGGCAUAUUCAGGGUCUUAUACUUUUUUAUUGCUGUAAUAAAACAUCAUAAUCAAGGAAAUUUA